rnacentral:rRNA from 1 species
CAAGCGAUAGGUAAGGGCAUUUGGUGAAUGCCUUGGCACUCAGAGGCGAAGAAGGACGUAAUACACUGCGAAAAGUCACGGGGAGUUGUGAAUAAGCAUUGAUCCGUGAAUGUCCGAAUGGGGAAACCCACAGAGCAAUCUGUAUCGUAACAUGAAUACAUAGUGUUGCGAAGCGAACGCAGGGAACUGAAACAUCUAAGUACCUGUAGGAAAGGAAAUCAACCGAGACUCCGAAAGUAGUGGCGAGCGAAAUCGGACCAGCCGAUGGAUUUGAUUGUAAGAACUAGAACAGCGUGGGAAAGCUGACCGAAGAUGGUGAUAGUCCAGUAUAGGUAGAAAGCAAUUAAGUUCUUGAGUAGGGCGGAGCACGAGAAAUUCUGUCUGAAAAUGGGGAGACCACUCUCCAAGGCUAAGUACUACUGAUUGACCGAUAGUGAACAAGUACCGUGAGGGAAAGGUGAAAAGCACCCCUAUAAGGGGAGUGAAAGAGAACCUGAAACCGGAUGCCUACAAGCAGUCGGAGGGUCAUAAGGCCUGACGGCGUACCUUUUGUAUAAUGGGUCAGCGACUUAAUUUAUGUAGCAAGCUUAAGCCGAUAGGUGUAGGCGCAGCGAAAGCGAGUGUUAAUAGCGCGUUAAGUUACAUGGAUUAGACCCGAAACCGAGUGAUCUAGCCAUGAUCAGGUUGAAGGUUGGGUAACACCAACUGGAGGACCGAACCCACUCCCGUUGAAAAGGUAGGGGAUGAAUUGUGGCUAGGGGUGAAAGGCCAAUCAAACUCGGAAAUAGCUGGUUCUCCGCGAAAACUAUUUAGGUAGUGCGGUGAGCGGACACCUUGAGGGGUAGAGCACUGGAAGAGCUAAGGGGGAGCGAUCCUUACUAAACUUUACCAAACUCCGAAUACUCAAGAGUGAUACUCACCAGACAGACAUUAGGUGCUAAGGUCUAGUGUCGAGAGGGAAAGAGCCCAGACCGCCAAUUAAGGUCCCAAAAUUAUGGCUAAGUGGUAAAGGAAGUGAAACGUCCAAAACAGUCAGGAGGUUGGCUUAGAAGCAGCCAUCCUUUAAAGAAAGCGUAAUAGCUCACUGAUCUAAAUAAGACGUCUUGCGCCGAAGAUGUAACGGGGCUAAAGCCAUAUACCGAAGUUGCGGAAUUGCACGUAAGUGCAAUUGGUAGCGGAGCGUUCUGUAAGCCUGCGAAGGUGUUCCGUAAGGAAUGCUGGAGGUAUCAGAAGUGAGAAUGCUGACAUGAGUAGCGAAAAGAAGUGUGAGAGACACUUCCGCUGAAAGUCCAAGGUUUCCUGCGUAAAGCUAAUCUGCGCAGGGUUAGUCGGUCCCUAAGGCGAGGCAGAGAUGCGUAGUCGAUGGGAAUCAGGUUAAUAUUCCUGAACCAACUAGGAAGUGACGGAUUCAGUAAAUUGUAUGUCCUUAUUGGAUUGGAUGUGCAGUGAAUGAGUCCCAGGAAAUAGCCCUAGUAUAGACCGUACCCGAAACCGACACAGGUGGACAGGUAGAGAAUACCAAAGCGCUUGAGAGAACUAUGUUGAAGGAACUAGGCAAAAUACUUGCGUAACUUCGGGAUAAGCAAGCCCCAUUUUAAGGCAACUUAGGGUGGGGGGCACAUACUAGGGGGUAGCGACUGUUUACUAAAAACACAGGGCUCUGCUAAAUUGAAAGAUGAAGUAUAGGGUCUGACGCCUGCCCGGUGCUGGAAGGUUAAGGAGAGAUGUGCAAGCAUUGAACUGAAGCCCCAGUAAACGGCGGCCGUAACUAUAACGGUCCUAAGGUAGCGAAAUUCCUUGUCGGGUAAGUUCCGACCUGCACGAAUGGCGUAACGACUUCCCCGCUGUCUCCAACAUAGACUCAGCGAAAUUGAACUCUGAGUUAAGAUGCUCAGUACCCGCGGUUAGACGGAGAGACCCCGUGAACCUUUACUAUAGCUUUGCAGUGGUAUUAGGUGACAAAUGUGUAGGAUAGGUGGGAUGCUAUGAAGUUAUGACGCUAGUUGUAAUGGAGCAGACGUUGAAAUACCACCCUUUUGUUAUUUGAUAUCUAACCUGCUUCCGUUAUCCGGAAGAGGGACCCUGCAUGGUGGGUAGUUUGACUGGGGCGGUCGCCUCCCAAAGAGUAACGGAGGCGCGCAAAGGUUGGCUCAGAUUGGUCGGAAAUCAAUCGUUGAGUGCAAUGGCAUAAGCCAGCCUGACUGCGAGAGCGACGGUUCGAGCAGAUACGAAAGUAGGUCAUAGUGAUCCGGUGGUCCCGAGUGGAAGGGCCAUCGCUCAACGGAUAAAAGGUACUCCGGGGAUAACAGGCUGAUUCCGCCCAAGAGUUCACAUCGACGGCGGAGUUUGGCACCUCGAUGUCGGCUCAUCACAUCCUGGGGCUGGAGAAGGUCCCAAGGGUUCGGCUGUUCGCCGAUUAAAGU